GACGAACGCUGGCGGCGUGCCUAAUACAUGCAAGUAGAACGCUGAAGAGAGGAGCUUGCUCUUCUUGGAUGAGUUGCGAACGGGUGAGUAACGCGUAGGUAACCUGCCUUGUAGCGGGGGAUAACUAUUGGAAACGAUAGAUAAUACCGCAUAACAAUGGAUGGCACAUGUAAUUUAUUUGAAAGGGGCAAUUGCUCCACUACAAGAUGGACCUGCGUUGUAUUAGCUAGUAGGUGAGGUAAUGGCUCACCUAGGCGACGAUACAUAGCCGACCUGAGAGGGUGAUCGGCCACACUGGGACUGAGACACGGCCCAGACUCCUACGGGAGGCAGCAGUAGGGAAUCUUCGGCAAUGGGGGCAACCCUGACCGAGCAACGCCGCGUGAGUGAAGAAGGUUUUCGGAUCGUAAAGCUCUGUUGUAAGUCAAGAACGGGUGUGAGAGUGGAAAGUUCACACUGUGACGGUAGCUUACCAGAAAGGGACGGCUAACUACGUG
rnacentral:rRNA from 1 species